ACAAUUGGUUCCCCGUUUGAGGGAUUAAAAAGGGAAUCGGGUGUAAGUCCCGAGCAGUCCCGCUGCUGUAAUCGGUAUUAUCCAGCAUGAACCACAGUCACUGAGCGUUAUCGGGAAGACUCAUGUUGUAGACCGUAAGUCAGAAGACCUGCCAUUGUG
rnacentral:ncRNA from 1 species